UGUUGCGGUGAAUACGUUCCCGGGUCUUGUACACACCGCCGUCAAACCAUGAAAGUGACCAACACCGAAGUCCGAUUCGUCGGCCUAAGGUGGGGGCAUGAUUGGGUU
rnacentral:rRNA from 1 species